rnacentral:rRNA from 1 species
CCUACGGGAGUCAGCAGUGAGGAAUAUUGGUCAAUGGGCGGAAGCCUGAACCAGCCAAGUCGCGUGAGGGAUUAAGGCCCUGCGGGUCGUAAACCUCUUUUGCCGGGGAGCAGAGGUCCGGACGUGUCCGGGCCGGGAGAGUACCCGGAGAAAAAGCAUCGGCUAACUCCGUGCCAGCAGCCGCGGUAAUACGGAGGAUGCGAGCGUUAUCCGGAUUUGUUGGGGUUAAGGGGUGCGUAGGCGGACUGGAAAGUCAGCGGUAAAAUCGAGAGGCUCAACCUCUUUCCGCCGUUGAAACUGUCGGUCUUGAGUGGGCGAGAAGUAUGCGGAAUGCGUGGUGUAGCGGUGAAAUGCAUAGAUAUCACGCAGAACUCCGAUUGCGAAGGCAGCAUACCGGCGCCCGACUGACGCUGAGGCACGAAAGCGUGGGUAUCGAACAGGAUUAGAUACCCGAGUAGUC